rnacentral:rRNA from 1 species
AUUGAACGCUGGCGGCAGGCCUAACACAUGCAAGUCGAGCGGUAGCACAGAGAGCUUGCUCUCGGGUGACGAGCGGCGGACGGGUGUGUAAUGUCUGGGAAACUGCCUGAGGGAGGGGGAUAACUACUGGAAACGGUAGCUAAUACCGCAUAACGUCGCAAGACCAAAGUGGGGGACCUUCGGGCCUCAUGCCUACAGAUGUGCCCAGAUGGGAUUAGCUAGUUGGUGGGGUAACGGCUUACCUAGGCGACGAUCGUUAGCUGGUCUGAGGGGAUGACCAGCUGCAUGAGAGCUUGAUCACGUCCCGUAGACCCUUGGGUAGCCACAGUUUGAUAAAUUGGACAAUAGGGGCAAAUCUUGUUCAUUGGUUCCGCGUGUGUGACACUGGCGCUCUGGGUGUAAAGCACUUUCAGGGGUUGUAAAAGGGGUGCGGUUGUUAGCCUGAUUGAUUGACGUUACCCGGUGAAGAAGCACCGGCUAACUACGUG